AGAGUUUUCGGUUCGGCUGGACGAAACACAGGUGCUGCAUGGCUGUCGUCAGCUCGUGUCGUGAGAUGUUGGGUUAAGUCCCGCAACGAGCGCAACCCUUACUUUUAGUUGCCAUCAUUUAGUUGGGCACUCUGAAAGAACUGCCAGUGAUAAGCUGGAGGAAGGUGGGGAUGACGUCAAGUCCUCAUGGCCCUUACGUGUUGGGCUACACACGUGCUACAAUGGCACUUACAAUAGGAAGCAAAGAGGCGACUCCAAGCAAAUCCCUAAAAAGUGCCUCAGUUCGGAUUGUACUCUGCAACUCGAGUACAUGAAGCUGGAAUUGCUAGUAAUCGCGGAUCAGCGCGCCGCGGUGAAUACGUUCCCGGGUCUUGUA
rnacentral:rRNA from 1 species